UACACAUGCAAGUCGAACGGCAGCACGUGAGCAAUCCUGGUGGCGAGUGGCGAACGGGUGAGUAAUAUAUCGGAACGUGCCCAGUCGUGGGGGAUAACGCAGCGAAAGCUGUGCUAAUACCGCAUACGAUCUACGGAUGAAAGCGGGGGAUCGCAAGACCUCGCGCGAUUGGAGCGGCCGAUAUCAGAUUAGGUUGUUGGUGGGGUAAAAGCCCACCAAGCCGACGAUCUGUAGCUGGUCUGAGAGGACGACCAGCCACACUGGAACUGAGACACGGUCCAGACUCCUACGGGAGGCAGCAGUGGGGAAUUUUGGACAAUGGGCGCAAGCCUGAUCCAGCAAUGCCGCGUGCAGGAUGAAGGCCUUCGGGUUGUAAACUGCUUUUGUACGGAACGAAACGGUCUGCUUUAAUACAGCGGGCUAAUGACGGUACCGUAAGAAUAAGCACCGGCUAACUACGUGCCAGCAGCCGCGGUAAUACGUAGGGUGCGAGCGUUAAUCGGAAUUACUGGGCGUAAAGCGUGCGCAGGCGGUUAUAUAAGACAGAUGUGAAAUCCCCGGGCUCAACCUGGGACCUGCAUUUGUGACUGUAUAGCUAGAGUGCGGCAGAGGGGGAUGGAAUUCCGCGUGUAGCAGUGAAAUGCGUAGAUAUGCGGAGGAACACCGAUGGCGAAGGC
rnacentral:rRNA from 1 species